ACGGGUGAGUAAUGCUUGGGAAUCUGGCUUAUGGAGGGGGAUAACUACGGGAAACUGUAGCUAAUACCGCGUAAAAUCUUCGGAUUAAAGGGUGGGACUUUCGGGCCACCUGCCAUGAGAUGAGCCCAAGUGGGAUUAGGUAGUUGGUUAGGUAAAGGCUGACCAAGCCGACGAUCUCUAGCUGGUCUGAGAGGAUGACCAGCCACACUGGAACUGAGACACGGUCCAGACUCCUACGGGAGGCAGCAGUGGGGAAUUUUGGACAAUGGGGGCAACCCUGAUCCAGCCAUGCCGCGUGUCUGAAGAAGGCCUUCGGGUUGUAAAGGACUUUUGUCCGGGAAGAAAAGCGCGAUGUUAAUACCAUUGCGUGCUGACGGUACCGGAAGAAUAAGCACCGGCUAACUACGUGCCAGCAGCCGCGGUAAUACGUAGGGUGCGAGCGUUAAUCGGAAUUACUGGGCGUAAAGCGGGCGCAGACGGUUACUUAAGCAGGAUGUGAAAUCCCCGGGCUCAACCUGGGAAUUGCGUUCUGAACUGGGUGGCUAGAGUGUGUCAGAGGGGGGUAGAAUUCCACGUGUAGCAGUGAAAUGCGUAGAGAUGUGGAGGAAUACCGAUGGCGAAGGCAGCCCCCUGGGAUGGCACUGACGUUCAUGCCCGAAAGCGUGGGUAGCAAACAGGAUUAGAUACCCU
rnacentral:rRNA from 1 species